CAAUAGCGUAUAUUAAAGUUGUUGCAGUUAAAAAGCUCGUAGUUGGACUUCUGGCAGGGCGCCGCGUGCCACAGUAGUGUGCACAAGGGCCCGGCCAUCCUUCUGUAAACGUCGGGGAAGUUUAUUCGUCCGCGGCGGGAUCAGUUAAUUUACCUUGAGAAAAUUAGAGUGUUUCAGGCAGGCGUAGCCGGAAUACAUUAGCAUGGAAUAAUGGAAUAGGACUUAGUCUCUUUGUUGGUUCGAGGGACUGGAGUAAUGAUUAAAAGGGGCAGUCAGGGGCACUCGUAUUCCGUCGAGAGAGGUGAAAUUCUCAGACCAAUGGAAGACGAACCACUGCGAAAGCAUUUGCCAGGGAUGUUUUCACUGAUCAAGAACGAAAGUUAGGGGAUCGAAGAUGAUCAGAUACCAU
rnacentral:rRNA from 1 species